UCAUUAUCGAAUUGUUGACACGAGUUGUUGCUGGCCUUCGAAAGGGGGCACGUGCACGCUCUGUUUACACAUCCACCCACCCCUGUGCACCUUUUGUAGUUCUGUGGUCUGGAGGCUCUGCUUCCCUUCUGUGGUUCUACGUCUUUACACACACACACGUGAAAGAAGUCUUGUGGAAUGUACGCCGCGUUUAACGCAAUACAAUACAACUUUCAGCAACGGAUCUCUUGGCUCUCGCAUCGAUGAAGAACGCAGCGAAAUGCGAUAAGUAAUGUGAAUUGCAGAAUUCAGUGAAUCAUCGAAUCUUUGAACGCACCUUGCGCCCUUUGGCUAUUCCGAAGGGCAUGCCUGUUUGAGUAUCAUGAACACCUCAACUCUCACGGUUCCUCGUGAUGAGCUUGGACUUGGGGGCUUUGUUGGCCUGUAGGUCAGCUCUCCUCAAACGAAUCAGCUCGCUGGUGUCUGGCGGCGUCAUGGGUGUGAUAACCGUCUACUCUUGUGAUCGCCUGCAAAGUAAACCUCUGGUCUGCAGAGGUUCACCGGAGCUUAUAGAUGUCUCUCCUCAGUGAAGACAGCUGU
rnacentral:rRNA from 1 species